AUUGAACGCUGGCGGCAGGCUUAACACAUGCAAGUCGAGCGGAGAUGAGGUGCUUGCACCUUAUCUUAGCGGCGGACGGGUGAGUAAUGCUAGGAAUCUGCCUAUUAGUGGGGGACAACAUUCCGAAAGGAAUGCUAAUACCGCAUACGUCCUACGGGAGAAAGCAGGGGAUCUUCGGACCUUGCGCUAAUAGAUGAGCCUAAGUCGGAUUAGCUAGUUGGUGGGGUAAAGGCUUACCAAGGCGACGAUCUGUAGCGGGUCUGAGAGGAUGAUCCGCCACACUGGGACUGAGACACGGCCCAGACUCCUACGGGAGGCAGCAGUGGGGAAUAUUGGACAAUGGGGGGAACCCUGAUCCAGCCAUGCCGCGUGUGUGAAGAAGGCCUUAUGGUUGUAAGGCACUUUAAGCGAGGAGGAGGCUACUGAGACUAAUACUCUUGGAUAGUGGACGUUACUCGCAGAAUAAGCACCGGCUAACUCUGUGCCAGCCGCCGCCGUAAGAC
rnacentral:rRNA from 1 species